rnacentral:rRNA from 1 species
AUUGAACGCUGGCGGAAUGUUUUACACAUGCAAGUCGAACGGCAGCACGGGGCAACCUGGUGGCGAGUGGCGAACGGGUGAGUAAUACAUCAGAACGUGCCCAAUCGUGGGGGAUAACGUAGCGAAAGCUACGCUAAUACCGCAUACGAUCUACGGAUGAAAGCGGGGGAUCGCAAGACCUCGCGCGAAUGGAGCGGCCGAUGGCAGAGUAGGUAGUUGGUGGGGUAAAGGCUCACCAAGCCGACGAUCUGUAGCUGGUCUGAGAGGACGACCAGCCACACUGGGACUGAGACACGGCCCAGACUCCUACGGGAGGCAGCAGUGGGGAAUUUUGGACAAUGGGCGCAAGCCUGAUCCAGCCAUUCCGCGUGCAGGAUGAAGGCCUUCGGGUUGUAAACUGCUUUUGUACGGAACGAAAAGGCUCUGGUUAGUACCCGGGGCUCAUGACGGUACCGUAAGAAUAAGCACCGGCUAACUACGUGCCAGCCGCCGCCGUAAGAC